UGGGCGUAAAGAGCUCGUAGGCGGUUUGUUGCGUCGGCUGUGAAAACCUGAGGCUCAACCUCAGGCCUGCAGUCGAUACGAGCAGACUAGAGUGUUGCAGGGGAGACUGGAAUUCCUGGUGUAGCGGUGAAAUGCGCAGAUAUCAGGAGGAACACCGGUGGCGAAGGCGGGUCUCUGGGCAACAACUGACGCUGAGGAGCGAAAGCGUGGGGAGCGAACAGGAUUAGAUACCCUGGUAGUCCACGCCGUAAACGUUGGGCGCUAGGUGUGGGGCUCAUUCCACGAGUUCCGUGCCGCAGCUAACGCAUUAAGCGCCCCGCCUGGGGAGUACGGCCGCAAGGCUAAAACUCAAAGGAAUUGACGGGGGCCCGCACAAGCGGCGGAGCAUGUUGCUUAAUUCGAUGCAACGCGAAGAACCUUACCUAGGCUUGACAUGCACGGAAAUCCUCCAGAGAUGGUGGGUCCGUAAGGGCCGUGCCACAGGUGGUGCAUGGUUGUCGUCAGCUCGUGUCGUGAGAUGUUGGGUUAAGUCCCGCAACGAGCGCAACCCUCGUUCUAUGUUGCCAGCACGUCAUGGUGGGGACUCAUAGGAGACUGCCGGGGUCAACUCGGAGGAAGGUGGGGAUGACGUCAAAUCAUCAUGCCCCUUAUGUCUAGGGCUGCAAACAUGCUACAAUGGCCGGUACAAAGGGCUGCGAUACCGCGAGGUGGAGCGAAUCCCAAAAAGCCGGUCUCAGUUCGGAUUGGGGUCUGCAACUCGACCCCAUGAAGUUGGAGUCGCUAGUAAUC
rnacentral:rRNA from 1 species